UAUUACUCAGGUCACUAGGGAUCGCCAUUUGAGAGAAGUUCUAGAAACUGAUAAAGCAGAGCAUGUGUGGGCGGAAAGUGUUUAUGCACUUAUGCAGUACGAUGAUGCAGUACUACAUACAGAGGAUUCGGAUAGCUCCAGAGAACGAGCAGAAGUUACACCAGGUUCCUGUCCUGAGACCACAGCAGAAAGUGCCUUGGAUGAAGGCUUGGACUCCUGGAUCGUCUGGUGACUUCAACUGUCUGGUGGAUAUGGCUGUGGAGCUUGGGAGCCCUGCUGUGAUUCUGCAGCAGAUAUGUCUAACUAAGCAGGUCCUGCAAAUCCCUCUCACUUGUAACCCACAAUAAAAG
rnacentral:lncRNA from 1 species